CCUACGGGCGACAGCAGUCGAGAAUCAUUCACAAUGGGGGAAACCCUGAUGGUGCGACGCCGCGUGGGGGAAUGAAGGUCUUCGGAUUGUAAACCCCUGUCAUGUGGGAGCAAAUUAAACACAUAGUACCACAAGAGGAAGAGACGGCUCACUCUGUGCCAGCAGCCGCGGUAAUACAGAGGUCUCAAGCGUUGUUCGGAAUCACAGGGCGUAAGGCGUGCGUAGGCUGUUUCGUAAGUCGUGUGUGAAAGGCGCGGGCUCAACCCGCGGACGGAACAUGAUACUGGGAGACUAGAGGAAUGGAGGGGGAACCGGAAUUCUCGGUGUAGCAGUGAAAUGCGUAGAUAUCGAGAGGAACACUCGUGGCGAAGGCGGGUUCCUGGACAUUAACUGACGCUGAGGCACGAAGGCCAGGGGAGCGAAAGGGAUUAGAUACCCGUGUAGUC
rnacentral:rRNA from 1 species